rnacentral:snoRNA from 1 species
GGAUGAGUUUCAAAACUACCACCUUUCGGGACUGCUUGGUGAUGACGCUCAAUCCCUGAUC